UAGCUAUGAUCCGUAUCCGAUUUCCUGGUAGGAUUAGGGUUUUGGGAAAGAACUAAAUACAUUUAUUUUAGCUAGUCUUUUCUGAAAAUAAACAUUGUCGUAUGAUUAGGGCAUUUAGAGUACAGUGUGACUCUGGUAUUACGACUCAGUUAACUUAUACAGGGUGGCGGAAACAAAGCGCUGAUUUUAUUUGUGAAGGGAAUCGGUUAGUCGGCUAGCUUUAGCUUUUAGCCUGCACUGUUGGACAUGUCUGCCUCGGCCGGUGCCUCUCCGUCAGCUCAGGGCACGGCCCUGGUCAGUCCAGGCACGGGGAUGUCCAUGUUUCGGUGGCUUGAGGUUCUGGAGAAGGAGUUUGACAAGGCGUUUGUUGACGUCGAUUUACUACUUGGAGAAAUCGACCCAGAUCAAGCUGACAUCACAUACGAGGGUCGUCAAAAGAUGACAAGUCUCAGCUCCUGUUUUGCUCAGCUUUGCCACAAAGCCCAGACGAUUUUUCAACUUAAUCACAAAGUAGAGGCUCAGCUGGUGGACCUGCGUUCGGAGCUGACUGACGUGCAGGCGGAGAAGGUGGUGGUGGAGAGGGAGGUCCACGACCAGCUGCUCCACCUUCAUGCCAUGCAGCUGCAACUUCAUGCCAAGGCUGGACAGACUGUGGACUCUGACGCCAUCAAAGACAGGAUGCCUGUUCCCUCAGUGGAGGAGAUGGAGAGGGAGCUGCAGGCCAACAAGAAGGAGAAGGUGAAGGAGGUGAAGCUGGAGGCAGAGGUCAAGCUGCAUAAGAAGGAGAAUGAGGCCCUCCGUAGGCACGUCGCUGUACUGCAGGCUGAGGUCUAUGGGGCAAGAUUGGCAGCCAAGUACCUGGACAAGGAGCUGGCUGGAAGAGUACAGCAGAUCCAGCUGCUGGGUCGGGACAUGAAGGGGCCCGCUCACGACAAGCUGUGGAACCAGCUGGAGGCUGAGAUCCACCUCCACCGCCACAAAACAGUUAUCCGGGCCUGCAGGGGGCGCAACGACCCCAAGAAACCCCUAGAGUCUCCAGUGGGGCAUGAAACAGAUAUACUGAAGAAGACUCAAGGAGUUGGUCCUAUUCGUAAAGUAGUGCUGGCCAAAGAAGAUCACGAGGGACUUGGAAUUUCAAUCACGGGUGGUAAGGAACACGGGGUACCCAUCCUGAUCUCAGAAAUCCAUCCUACCCAGCCUGCGGAGCGCUGUGGCGGGCUCCAUGUGGGCGAUGCCAUCCUGGCUGUCAACAGCAUCAACCUGAGGGACGCCAAACACAAGGAGGCUGUCACCAUCCUCUCACAACAGAGGGGAGAGAUAGAGUUUGAGGUGGUGUACGUGGCCCCGGAGGUGGACUCUGACGAUGAGAACGUGGAGUAUGAGGAUGACAGCGGCCAUCGCUACCGCCUCUACCUGGAUGAGCUGGAGGAGGGGUCAGCCGCCAGCAGGAACAAUGGCACAGCAGACUCAGCAUCACUGCAAGGAAAGUUAUCUCUACUGUACCUCAGUCCUGGGAUUUCAUUGAUCAUAAAAAACGCACAUGUAGUUUUCACAGUAGUAGGGCUUUAUUUUCAUGUACUUGCAUUUUAAACAGUGCUUUUACUUCACAUUCACUUGCAUUAUACAAAUGGGGGGUCUUUGUGUUAAUGUGUAAAUGGUAAGCUUGGGCUGUAUCCAGAUUGUCAUACUCAUACUGACCUUGUGCCAUACCCGGAUAUUCAGUAGUACCUGCACUGAGCACAUGGGGUGCCAUUUUGAAACCCCACUGAGCCUUUGAGUACGGAACAAAAAUAUAAAUUCAACAUGCAACAACUUCAAUGAUUUUUACUGAGUUACAGUUUAUAUAAUAAAAUCAGUCAAUUUAAAUAAAUGAAUUAGGGCCUAAUCUAUGGAUUUCACAUGACUGGGCAGGGGCACAGUCCCAGCCAAUCAGAAUUAGUUUUUCCCCAUAAAAGGGUUUAUUACAGACAUAAAUACUCCUCAGUUUCAUCAGCUGUCAGGGUGGCUGGUCUCAGAUGAUCCCGCAGGUGAAGAAGCCAGAUGUUGAGGUCCUGGGCUGGCAUGGUUGCACGUGGUCUGCGGUUGUGAGGCCGGUUGGAUGUACUGCCAAGUUCUCUAAAACAACGUUGGAUGCGGCUUAUGGUAGAGAAAUGAACAUUAAAUUAUCUGCCAACAGCUCUGGUGGACAUUCCUGCAGUCAGCAUGCCCAUUGCACGCUCCCUCAACUUGAGACACCUGUGUUGUAUGACCAAACUGCACAUUUUAGAGUGACCUUUUAUUGUCCCCAGCACAAGUUGCACCUGUGUAAUGAUCAUGCUGUUUAAUCAGCUCCUUGAUAUGCCACACCUGUCAUGUGGAUGGAUUAUGUUGGCAAAGGAGAAAUGCUUACUGACAGGGAUGUAAACAAAUGUGUGCACAACAUUGGAGAGAAAUAAGCUUUUUGUGUGUGUAUGAAAACAUUUCAGGAUUUUUUUUAUUUCAGCUCAUGAAACAUUUAUAUUUUUGUUCAAUAGAGAAUGCUAACAAGUGCAUUGCAAACAUUUUAUACAGUCUCUGACCUAAAGUAUUUGCAGGACAGACAUCGCAGCUCAUAAAGUUAUACAAGUAACUCAAAAAUGUUACUCACAGUUGGCUGCACGCGCAAAACAAAUAUUAGACAUUAAGGCUCUUGAUCCAGGAAGGGAUUCUCUGCUGUUACCAAGCGAUACUUAAUUUUGGAAGACGCUAACCACUUAGCACAACUGAGUAGCAUUUUAGACAGUUAACUUUAUAGUUCUAAGAUAACUAGCUGGCAAACAUUUAGUUGUAACUAGAUCAACUGGCGUAUGCUGCACAACAGUGAGUGACUCACAAGUCUCCAGAUCCUCAUCGUUGUGUGCUUGUAAACAAACACUUGUAAGCUUCAGAAUGAAAAAUAAUGUGACAGGUGAAAUGAACGCAACCUUUUUUAUCACCGAACAUAUUGCACAAGUUGACUACUGGUGUUUACUUCAAAAGCAGGAAAAAAAUAUUCAGUGUAUAAAACAAAUUCAAAGAAAUUUCAACGGUAUUGACGGUGUUAAUAAAAACAUAAAAUCAAUUUUUAUCUGUCACAUAGGCCGAAUGCAACAGAAUAUACCAUGUAGUGAAAUGUUUACUUUACAAGCCCUUAACCAACAAUGCAGUUAAGAAAAAAAUAAAAUAAACUGAAGUAAAAAAAUAAAAAAAAAUUACAAAUAUAGAAGGAAAAAUAACAGUAGUGAGGCUAUAUACGGGGGUACAGGUACAGAGUCAAUAUACGGGGGUACAGGUACAGAGUCAAUAUGCGGGGGCACAGGUUAGUCGAGGUAAUAUGUACAUUGACUAUGCAUGGAUAAUAAACAGAGUAGCAGCAGUGUAAAAUCGAUGGUGGGGGGGAGACGAUGCAAAUAGCCCGGGUAGCCAUUUGAUUAACUGUUCAGGAGUCUUAUGGCUUGGGAGUAGUAGAAGCUGUUAAGAAGCCUCCUGUGGCUAUUUCCAAAUACCCUGAUAUACGGUAUACCGCCCAAGCCUAGCAAAUGGACUUUAGACUGCCACAAUACCAUAUGAGCAUAUGUGAAUGAACAGAAAAUAUGGCAUAUCAGCUGGUACAAGAGUGAUAGAUGCUACAGGAAGGAGAGAGAGUGUAUUCAUGUUUGUCUCUCUAUGUGCUUGCUGCAGCCCUGGAAAAGAUGUCCGUGGGUGACGGCCCAGAGAACGGAGACACAGGGAUCUUCAGUGAGACGCCAUCGGAGGAGACCCCGUCUAAGACUGCUGGGUCCGGAAAGAGCACCUCCUAGAGCGGCGGGGGAGGAUCUGGAGGAAUGGGGAGGGGUGCAGAGGAGGAUGGAGAAGAGCUGAAAGACUGGACUGCACAUGUAUUUUUGUACUAUACUCUAUGAGAUUUGAGAGACUGGACUGCAUCUGAGUCCACUGGAGGAUGUAUGAGGGGAGAAAUGGGGAUAAAGUCAACUCAUCAUUAAGUCGUCAUGGAAACGCACUCAAAGCUCUUUUGAAUUCCUGUUACUAUCAUUCUGCAACGGUGAGGAGCCAAUGAGAGAAGACCACAGAUUGAGGAGAAGAUGUGGGUCUAGAUGAUUGAAUGGAUGGACUAAGUGGUAUUUUUCUGUGUGUAUAGUUACUGAUCCUAUUUGCCCCCGACAUUAAGACGACACUUCCUUACUGUGAGACUGCCCUGCUGGUAAUGAAUACUGUUUUACUAGGCUGAGGAAAUCUUCUCCCUUCAUAAAUGUUGGCUUUUAUUUAUCUCUUACACAUGUAGCUUGUGUAGAGGGGUUUCCCUCAACUGUAAUGUUCAUCUUCUACCACUGAUUAUGAUCUCAUGUUUACUCCCAUGUCAAACCUGCACCGCUCUAAGAUCCACCUACAAGUAGGCUUAGCCCUCAAGUGUUCAGAAUAUAGAACAUUCACCUAUUUCAACUAUUAGGGUGUGCCCUCUGUGUUUGAUCAAUGGUAUCACAGAAUGUUACCAUAGUCCUCAUUACACAACAUUUUCAUUUAAAGAUGGGGCCCUCUGAGCAAUGCAUCUUGUGUGCUACCUCGUUGUCUUCAUACUGUUCAAUGUCCUUGCCGUUUACUCUGAGGUGCACACACACUGGCUAAUGUUCUCUGAAAACAGGUUGUGUAUGACAAAGUUACUGAUAACUCUGGAAGUAUUUCUUUCACAAAUAUAUAUAUAUAUAUAUUACCACAAGCUCCGUUGCCAGAAAUUAGAAGUGCAAUAUCUUUAAACUCAACUAGGAUUUCUCCUUUACCGCCUUUGUUCUUGUCCCUUUUCACGUAAAGUACAUAUCUUGCUUGUCCCUGAAGUUCCUUCUCUGUAUCCACCCUUCUCUAUUACUGGUGUGCUGUGAUCUUGUAUCAGUGGUUGUGUUUUCAGACUCGUUAGGACCCAAAAGAUGACUGACGGCCGUGUCGGCUGCACCGUAUUCUGAUAUUAAGAGCGGUUAUCAACCUGUCUGAGGGAUGGGAGUUUCCAGCUUUAAUCUAUGAAUUUCACACAACCAAAAGGUUUGUGUGCAUGCAAACAGGUUUUUAUGCACUGAAGAUCAAUUUCAAAAUAAAAUCCACAAACUAUCAUCUUUGAGACUAGAAAGUUCUAUGUAUACUAUAUAAAUGUAUUAGCUGUUUUAAACUUGAAAUCAGUGCAUUUCUGUAGAUCAUAUUGGAAUUUAGCUACUGUAGUAGCUAGCAUCUCUCUACUGUACUCAUUACAAAUGUACCCCCAUACUGAGGGCUGAGGGGUUGAGGUGGUCAUGAUGACAACCUGCAGCCUUGUGUUCCAAUCUUGACCUCAUUCAUAGCUAAUCUGCAGUUACUGUUUAUUUAAUUUUUUUAUCUACACUAAACAAAAAUGUAAAUGCAAUAUGUAAAGUGUUGGUCUCAUGUUUCAUGAGCUGAAAUAAAAGAUCCUAGAAUUUUUCCAUA